GAAAUGCGAUAAGUAGUGUGAAUUGCAGAAUUCAGUGAAUCAUCGAAUCUUUGAACGCACAUUGCGCUUCCUGGUAUUCCGGGGAGCAUGCUCGUUUCAGAAUCAUUAAAAACUCACAAUCUUUCUGUGCUCUAAGCACAGCUAGCUGCGUGGAUCUGGGGUGUGUUUCGUUGCUCUUGAGCGCGAUCGCCUUAAAAAAAUUGUAUGCAUGUGGAUCCUCUCUUGUGUGGGGUGUCACAUCAAAGUGCAACAGAGAUUUUAUCUUUCUUACAUUUUGGUGAAACAUCACAAACAAGGCAGGCCGUCGUGCAUAUUCUCAAUCAACACAUUGUUGGGGAGCAUUUUCUUACUCCUUAGCUUUGAAACUUGGUCUGAAAUCGAGCAAGAAAACCCGCUGAAC
rnacentral:misc_RNA from 1 species